UUAUUAGUAUGAGUUGUGAAUGAGUAUAUUUUGCGGGCGGCCUUGCUUUUAUACAGCGGGCGGCACGCGCGACUUUCUGAUGUAACGCGGUGUUAUCUUGCGCGGGCGCACGCGGGCGCGCCUGCCGAGCCUGUUUCAGCCAGCACGAGUCAGUGAUGCUUUCUGCAAAACGGAGGGAAAAACUUAUUUUCAUCGCCGCGACAAGGUGAUGUAACAAAACAUGCGUCUUGCCGACCACCGAAGAUGCUGCAUCCGCGUAUUGCUGACGUUACCUGUACUGCGUUUAGCGACUUCUAAAUGGUCAGGUUGGCGGCAUCUGGUCAGGCCGUGAAGAGCGUGCUCCUUGCGAAACUAUAUUACG